GAUGAACGCUGGCGGCGUGCCUAAUACAUGCAAGUCGAGCGAACGGACGAGAAGCUUGCUUCUCUGAUGUUAGCGGCGGACGGGUGAGUAACACGUGGAUAACCUACCUAUAAGACUGGGAUAACUUCGGGAAACCGUAGCUAAUACCGGAUAAUAUUUUGAACCGCAUGGUUCAAAAGUGAAAGACGGUCUUGCUGUCACUUAUAGAUGGAUCCGCGCUGCAUUAGCUAGUUGGUAAGGUAACGGCUUACCAAGGCAACGAUGCAUAGCCGACCUGAGAGGGUGGUCGGCCACACUGGAACUGGGACACGGUCCAGACUCCUGCGGGAGGCAGCAGUAGGGAAUCUUCCGCAAUGGGCGAAAGCCUGGCGGAGCAACGCCGCGUGAGUGAUGAAGGUCUUCGGAUCGUAAAACUCUGUUAUUAGGGAAGAACAUAUGUGUAAGUAACUGUGCACAUCUUGACGGUACCUAAUCAGAAAGCCACGGCUAACUACGUG
rnacentral:rRNA from 1 species